UCAUUGCAUAGCCCUUUACUUUUGUACAAGGCAGGAAAGAAAAAUUCUCAGUCUAUCUUUAAACAAUUUAUUUCAUAAACUGCUUUUUUGUCUUACUCAUUUCCUGUUUACUGUAAAAGGUCUUCUAUGUCUCUUCAGAGGGAAUUCACAAUUCAACACAAUCUGUCAACUUUUAUUUAGACAUCCCCUGUUCAAACUGUACAAUGGAGUGUAUACUGUAACUGAGACUUCAACACAGAAAGAGGUGUUGAUAUAAAGAGUAUUUCAUAUAUUUAUAGAGCAAAACUGCAAGUGUAAACUAGGCAGAGACUAAGGGAUGAGUAAUAAGUGAACCACCAACAAGGGAUGUUCUUGUUAAGGCCUGCACAGAAUCAGCUAGUCAUGCCAGGCUGCUGUCUACCCUAUUUUGAACUGCAAGGUCAUAUGAAAAUACAGAUGACAACUGCUCUGGAUGUUUUCCUAAAAUUCUGCUCCUGGGCUCUCAUGCUGUCUCCAGCACUGGUGCAUCUCAUUACAGCCAUGCAGCCCUGGCAUUAGAGGGUGAAAUCUCUUCACAUGCUGGGAGUGAUGAGAUCGGUGCCGCCGAUGGAGAUGAGCCAGGAUAUCUAAUGCUGCAAAAUGCCUUUGAGAGCAUCUGCCCUCUCAUCAGCACACACAACUGCUCUCCAUCUGUGCCAUUCUCCAUACUCUGGGACUGCAUCACCCCUUCACCAAUUAGGCCAUUAUGCUGCUAAGGACAAUUUCUGGAGGUUGCUGCCUCUGACCUUUCUGCAGAGAAACCCAAGCCCACGCUCUCGUGUCUCAAUGCUGUGACUCCUCUGAGGAUCUGGCUCUUGAGGGAGGAGGGUCACUACCAGAAUACCAAGCACUCCCAAUUGCCACCCAGCUCCAGCAGCCUUGGAAGCAGAAGAAAUCCUCCUGUAUUUUGUGAUACUUAGUGGAUUUGCAAAAUCUUAGGCUUUCCCUAUUUUUCAGUGUCCUUUUUAUUUAAUUAUGGAAUCAACCAAUUGAAAAUAUU